GCUGGGUGUGGUGGUGAGAACCUGUGGUCCCUGUUACUUGGGAGGCUGAGACAAGAGGAUCACUUUAACCCAAAAGUUCAGGGCCAGCCUGAGCAGCAUAGUGAAACCCCAUCUCAA
rnacentral:sRNA from 1 species